rnacentral:rRNA from 1 species
CAUGCAAGUCGUGGGGCAGCAGCUUUGUAGCAAUACAGAGGCUGGCGACCGGCAAACGGGUGCGGAACACGUACGCAACCUCCCUCUAACUGGAAGAUAGCCCACCGAAAGGUGGAUUAAUACUCCAUAAUGUAUUGAAGUGGCAUCACUUUAAUAUUAAAGCUCCGGCGGUAAGAGAUGGGCGUGCGUCUGAUUAGGUAGUUGGCGGGGUAACGGCCCACCAAGCCUGCGAUCAGUAGCUGAUGUGAGAGCAUGAUCAGCCACACGGGCACUGAGACACGGGCCCGACUCCUACGGGAGGCAGCAGUAAGGAAUAUUGGUCAAUGGACGCAAGUCUGAACCAGCCAUGCCGCGUGGAGGAUGAAGGUCCUCUGGAUUGUAAACUUCUUUUCUCUGGGACGAAACCCCCGAUUUCCAUCGGGCCUGGCGGUGCCAGAGGAAUAAGCACCGGCUAACUCCGUGCCAGCAGCCGCGGUAAUACGGAGGGUGCAAGCGUUAUCCGGAUUCACUGGGUUUAAAGGGUGCGUAGGCGGGUUUGUAAGUCAGUGGUGAAAUCCCCGAGCUUAACUUGGGAACUGCCAUUGAUACUGCAGAUCUUGAAUUUUCUGGAGGUAAGCGGAAUAUGUCAUGUAGCGGUGAAAUGCUUAGAUAUGACAUAGAACACCCAUUGCGAAGGCAGCUUACUACGGGAAUAUUGACG